rnacentral:rRNA from 1 species
AGAAGGGGAGCAAUCCCUGAGUAAAGUGGCGUACGGGUGAGUAACACGUGGAUCAUCUACCUUUUAGUGGGGAAUACCCCCGGGAAACUGGGGACAAUACCGCAUAAGCUCGUGAGAGGAAAGCAGCAAUGCGCUGAAAGAGGAGUCCGCGGCUGAUUAGCUAGUUGGUGAGGUAACGGCCCACCAAGGCGAAGAUCGGUAGCCGGCCUGAGAGGGCACACGGCCACACUGGCACUGAAAUACGGGCCAGACUCCUACGGGAGGCAGCAGUGGGGAAUCUUGCACAAUGGAGGAAACUCUGAUGCAGCGACGCCGCGUGAACGAUGAAGCCCUUCGGGGUGUAAAGUUCUUUCGACGGGAACGAUAAUGACGGUACCCGAAGAAGAAGCUGCGGCUAACUACGUGCCAGCAGCCGCGGUAAUACGUAGGCAGCAAGCGUUGUUCGGAAUUACUGGGCGUAAAGAGUGCGUAGGCGGUGCUCUAAGUCUGUUGUGAAAUCUCCCGGCUUAACUGGGAGGGUGCAGCGGAAACUGGAGUGCUUGAGGGUGGGAGAGGUAAGCGGAAUUCCUGGUGUAGCGGUGAAAUGCGUAGAUAUCAGGAGGAACACCUGUGGUGUAGACAGCUUACUGGACCACUUCUGACGCUGAGGCACGAAAGCGUGGGUAGCAAACAGGAUUAGAUACCCUGGUAGUCCACGCCCUAAACGAUGCAUAC